GACGAACGCUGGCGGCGUGCCUAAUACAUGCAAGUCGAGCGGACGGAUGGGAGCUUGCUCCCUGAAGUCAGCGGCGGACGGGUGAGUAACACGUGGGCAACCUGCCCCUAAGAUCGGGAUAACUUCGGGAAACCGGAGCUAAUACCGGAUAUGAUCAUCCCUCACAUGAGGGAUGAUGGAAAGACGGUUUCGGCUGUCACUUAGGGAUGGGCCCGCGGCGCAUUAGCUAGUUGGUGAGGUAACGGCUCACCAAGGCGACGAUGCGUAGCCGACCUGAGAGGGGGAUCGGCCACACUGGGACUGAGACACGGCCCAGACUCCUACGGGAGGCAGCAGUAGGGAAUCUUCCGCAAUGGACGAAAGUCUGACGGAGCAACGCCGCGUGAGUGAAGAAGGUUUUCGGAUCGUAAAACUCUGUUGUCAGGGAAGAACAAGUACCAUAGUAACUGAUGGUACCUUGACGGUACCUGACCAGAAAGCCACGGCUAACUACGUGCCAGCAGCCGCAGUAA
rnacentral:rRNA from 1 species